GACGAACGCUGGCGGCGUGCCUAAUACAUGCAAGUUGAGCGCUGAAGGUUGGUACUUGUACCGACUGGAUGAGCAGCGAACGGGUGAGUAACGCGUGGGGAAUCUGCCUUUGAGCGGGGGGACAACGAUUUGGAAACGAAUGCUAAUACCGCAUAAAAACUUUAAACACAAGUUUUAAGUUUGAAAGAGUGCAAUUGCAUCACUCAAAGAUGAUCCCGCGUUGUAUUAG
rnacentral:rRNA from 1 species